rnacentral:rRNA from 1 species
UACGUAGGGCGCAAGCGUUGUCCGGAAUUAUUGGGCGUAAAGAGCUUGUAGGCGGUUUGUCGCGUCUGCUGUGAAAUUUCGGGGCUCAACCCCGAACUUGAAGUGGGUACGGGCAGACUAGAGUGUGGUAGGGGAGACUGGAAUUCCUGGUGUAGCGGUGAAAUGCGCAGAUAUCAGGAGGAACACCGAUGGCGAAGGCAGGUCUCUGGGCCAUAACUGACGCUGAGAAGCGAAAGCAUGGGGAGCGAACAGG